rnacentral:rRNA from 1 species
AGAGUUUGAUUAUGGCUCAGGAUGAACGCUAGCGAUAGGCCUAACACAUGCAAGCGAGGGGCAGCACAUGAGUAGCAAUACGAUGGUGGCGACCGGCGCACGGGUGAGUAACACGUAUGCAACCUACCUUUAACAGGGGAAUAACCCGUUGAAAAACGGACUAAUACUCCAUAACACAGGGGUCCCGCAUGGGAAUAUUUGUUAAAGAUUAAUCGGUUGAAGAUGGGCAUGCGUUCCAUUAGCUUGUUGGUGAGGUAACGGCUCACCAAGGCCACGAUGGAUAGGGGAACUGAGAGGUUUAUCCCCCACACUGGAACUGAGACACGGUCCAGACUCCUACGGGAGGCAGCAGUGAGGAAUAUUGGUCAAUGGAGGCAACUCUGAACCAGCCAAGUCGCGUGAAAGGAUGAAGGUCUUAUGGAUUGUAAACUUCUUUUGCAAGGGAAUAAAGUGGGGGACGUGUCCUCCUUUGCAUGUACCUUGCGAAUAAGGAUCGGCUAACUCCGUGCCAGCCGCAGC